AUGGCUAACCGAGCCAGUCUGGGCCCCCCUUGUGCCAGUUAUCAAGCUCGGCCUCCUGGGCCCACAGUGCUGGGUGAAGUGCAUGGCCAUCUUCCGUGCAGCUGGUCAAACAUCCCUGUCCACCUCCUCAUCGCCUUCUGGGAUGUGUGUGGACCAGAAUCGCUCCCUCAGGAUGUUCAGACUGACCCGCCCCCAGGAGGGGUGAACUCCGGCCAUUCCUGGGGAGAAGAAUCCCGCCGUGGGCUGCUCUCACCAGGUUCGGCCAGGCCGUCCUGCUCUCCGGGCCCUGCAGAGGCCUCCCCGGCCCCACACAGCCCUCCUGCUCCCCCCACCCCACCCCCUGCAGCCGUCCACCGCCCAGCAGUCUGCUUCUCACGUGUGGAGCUGUGUCUGCAGAACACGAAACAGACCGCUCCGCACCCAGAACAGGGAGCCUGUCAGCUGCAGUGGGAAGGCUGGUGGAAAACUGCCCUGGAAAUGCUAACAGGGCUCGGGGGCACAAGUCACAUAGAUUUCCUAAAGGAAAUCAACCCUGAAUAUUCACUGGAAGGACUGAUGCUAAAGCUGAAGCUCGAAUACUUUGGCCACCUGAUCCCAAGAACUGACUCACAAGAAAAGACCCUGAUGCUGGGAAAGAUUGAAGGUGGGAGAAGGGGACAACAGAUGAGAUAAUUGGAUGGCAUCAUCGACUCAGUGGACGAGAAUUUGAGCAGGCUCCGGGAAAUAGUGAAGGUCAGGGAGGCCUGAUGUGCUGCAGCCCAUGGAGUCACAGAGAGUCGGACAGGACCUGGCGACUGAACAACAAAAGAUGGCAAGAAAACAAAGAAAACUGAAAGAAAGAAGUGCAGAGGUAGGACCUCCACAGGCCAGGGUGGGCUGAAUGCUCUCCAGGUUCCCGGGAGUCCUGCCCCGGGGCGUUCUCGACCAGUCAGAAGCCAGCUGGGCUUCAGUCAGCUCCCACCUCCUCCCCCAUACUCAGGAGCCCUGUUCUAUUUUGAUCAGGAACCCUGCAACCACUGUGAAUCCCUGUGGAAGGGACCUGGGCCCAGCCCCUGAUGGUCCCCCUCCCUCCUGCCCUGAGACCCCCCAGACGAACCCUGAGAUGGGCUGUGGCUGGAGCAGGGCAAGGCCAGGCCAGAAAGAGCAAGGCAUCUGGCAAAGCAAAGGCGUUUGAUGUCAAAGCCUGCUUUGCAGCAGGAAACAAAACUUCACAAGGAUUCAG
rnacentral:lncRNA from 1 species